UACGUAGGGUGCAAGCGUUGUCCGGAAUUAUUGGACGUAAAGAGCUCGUAGGCGGUUCGUCGCGUCGGCUGUGAAAACCCGGAGCUCAACUCCGGGCCUGCAGUCGAUACGGGCGGACUUGAGUUCGGCAGGGGAGACUGGAAUUCCGUGGUGUAGCGGUGAAAUGCGCAGAUAUCAGGAGGAACACCGGUGGCGAAGGCGGGUCUCUGGGCCGAUACUGACGCUGAGGAGCGAAAGCGUGGGGAGCGAACAGG
rnacentral:rRNA from 1 species